rnacentral:tRNA from 1 species
GUAUAAUGGCCAUUACCGUAGCUUCCUAAGUUACAGACGUGGGUUCGAUUCCCAU